GUGCAGCAGUCGAGAAAACUUCACACUGUGCGAAAGCACGAUGAGGGAAUCCCAAGUGCUUGCACGUAAGUGUAAGCUGUUUCUCUGUCUAAAACGCAGAGAGAGUAAGGGCUGGGUAAGACGGGUGCCAGCCGCCGCGGUAAUACCUGCAGCUCAAGUGGUGACCGUUAUUAUUGGGCCUAAAACGUCCGUAGCCGGUUUAAUAAAUGCCUGGGUAAAUUGUGUAGCUUAACUAUACGAAUUCCGGGUAGACUGUUAAACUUGAGACCGGGAGAAGUUAGAGGUACUCCUGGGGUAGAGGUGAAAAUUCUGUAAUCCUAGGGGGACCACCAGUGGCGAAGGCGUCUAACUAGAACGGGUCUGACGGUGAGGGACGAAGCCCUGGGGCGCAAACGGGAUUAGAUACCCGUGUAGU
rnacentral:rRNA from 1 species